rnacentral:rRNA from 1 species
GACGAACGCUGGCGGCGUGCUUAACACAUGCAAGUCGAACGGAAAGGCCCUGCUUUUGUGGUGUGCUCGAGUGGCGAACGGGUGAGUAACACGUGAGUAACCUGCCCUUGACUUUGGGAUAACUUCAGGAAACUGGGGCUAAUACCUGAUAUGAGCUCCUGCUGCAUGUUGGGGGUUGGAAAGUUUCGGCGGUUGGGGAUGGACUCGCGGCUUAUCAGCUUGUUGGUGGGGUAGUGGCUUACCAAGGCUUUGACGGGUAGCCGGCCUGAGAGGGUGACCGGCCACAUUGGGACUGAGAUACGGCCCAGACUCAUACGGGAGGCAGCAGUGGGGAAUAUUGCAAAAUGGGCGGAAGCAUGAAGCAGCAACGCCGCGUGCGGGAUGACGGCCUUAGGGUUGGAAACCGCUUUCGCCUGUGACGAAGCGUGAGUGACGGUAAUGGGUAAAGAAGCACCGGCUAACUACGUG